AAGUCGUAACAAGGUUUCCGUAGGUGAACCUGCGGAAGGAUCAUUACCGAGUUCAUGCCCUAACGGGUAGAUCUCCCACCCUAUGUUUACAUACCUUUGUUGCUUUGGCGGGCCGUCGUUAGACCGCUGGUUUUGGCCAGCGCGUGCCUGCCAGAGGACCCAAACUCUGUGUUUUAGUGUUGUCUGAGUCCUAUAAAAUACGUGAAAA
rnacentral:misc_RNA from 1 species